GUUCAAAUGCCCCUCUUGUUUCCUGCAGGACGUCCUUCCGUCCCAUUCACACACAAGGACAUUUCACCCUCUCACGCCAGCGUGCCGGCCUCCUCUGAGGCUGCGGAGCGCUGAUACAUGUGAGUGAGUAAAACAGAGGACAUCUCGAGGGCACGUAAUACCACGCUGAGCCCGGUGCCAGUGAAAGAGGGGAUUAUUUCACAUGGCCAGCCGGAGAGAUGGGAGCCACACUAAGCUGCUGCGCGUCAUCCCGAGCAGGCCGGGGGCUGAGGAUCCAUCAAAACGGCAAUGAGCAUCUGUGCACACACACGGACUGACUUGGCCAGGGCGUCACUGGCAGGAGAGGAAACAAAGGCCGUCACCACACGGAGCACCUCACAUACACUGGGUUUCCCAUGAGAAAAUCCAGAGAAAACAAACUUCUAUGCACCUAAACAAGGGCAAAUCUUCAAGGAAA
rnacentral:lncRNA from 1 species